UUAUGCGGUUCAAAAUGUACUAAUCCUAGCUGCGAGUCGGAGUUUAUAAAUUGUAGUACUAGUUGCAACUCCAAACAUUUACCAGAAAAAAGUAAUAUUAAUGAUCAUAUAUCUAUUAAAUCUGAAGCAUUUUCACAAAAUGACUUGUUAAAAAGUGACAAAAAUGAAAGAAAUAUUCAUUCGAGUAAAUAUUCUAAUAGAACGAAAUAUAUAUAUAACAAUAACACUACUACAACUGUGUCUAAUAUACAUGUACCAUUUGUACCAGAUCCUAUUAUAUAUAAUAACAGUGAAAAUUUGUUGCAAAAUAAACCAACAAUUUUAGUUUCAAAGGAUUAUAUUUCAAAUGAAUCAUUACAAGAAGGUUGUCAAGAGAAAAAAAAUGGUCCAUUUAAUAUCACUAGAAUAAACGAGUGCACUAGCUGUAAGUAUCAAAAUGACAACGUUAACUACUCGGGUCAUCAGUCAACUAACUACUCGGGUCAUCAGUCAACUAACUACUUAAACAAUAACAAUAACAAUAACAAUAACAAUAACAAUAACAAUAACAAUAACAAUAACAAUAACAAUAGCAAUAACAAUAACAAUAACAAUAGCAAUAACAAUAACAAUAACAAUAGCAAUAACAAUAACAAUAACGCUAUAAAUAACAAUAACAAUAACGCUAUAAAUAACAAUAAAAAAGAGUUAGAAAAGAUAAAAAGAGAUAAAAUAAAAAAUAAAAACACCAACAUAAAUGAUAUAUAUUCUCACUUUAAUAAAAUGGAUGAUAAAAAUAGUUACCAAUCCAAAACACAAAUGCCAUAUAGAUUUAAACCUAAAUUAAAUUCUCAAUACUCCAAUAGUUGCAACAGGGUAAAAUGCAACACACAACAUAUUACCAAUUGUAACGACAAUUGUCCAAAUAUACGCGAAUCUAUAAAAGCAACUACAGAAAACAGAUUUUUCCAAAGAAACAAUGAACCAAAAAAAAAUAAUGAACAUUCAGGCAUACAGGUACAAACAAACAAACCACAUUACAAAGAUGUAUGUUUAAGUCCUGCUUACAGAUCAAACCACAACGAUAAUAUAAAAGGAAUAGAAAUAAACGAGAUAGACAGAGAAAGAGAAAGAGACGAGGUCAGAGAAGAAGAAAUAUACGAGGUCAGAGCAGAAGAAAGAGAAGAGGUCAGAGAAGAAGAAAGAGAAGAGGUCAGAGAAGAAGAAAGAUACGAGGUCAGAGAAGAAGAAAGAGACGAGAUCAGAGAAGAAGAAAGAUACGAGGUC
rnacentral:lncRNA from 1 species